CCUACGGGAGGCAGCAGUGGGGGAUAUUGCACAAUGGGGGAAACCCUGAUGCAGCGACGCCGCGUGGGUGAAGAAGCGCCUCGGCGCGUAAAGCCCUGUCAGCAGGGAAGAAAAUGACGGUACCUGAAGAAGAAGCCCCGGCUAACUACGUGCCAGCAGCCGCGGUAAUACGUAGGGGGCAAGCGUUAUCCGGAUUUACUGGGUGUAAAGGGGGCGCAGACGGCGAUGCAAGCCAGGAGUGAAAGCCCGGGGCCCAACCCGGGGACUGCUCUUGGAACUGCGUGGCUAGAGUGCAGGAGGUGCCGGCAGAAUUCCUGGUGUAGCGGUGAAAUGCGUAGAUAUCAGGAGGAACACCGGUGGCGAAGGCGGCCUGCUGGACUGCAACUGACGUUGCGGCCCGAAAGCGUGGGGAGCAAACAGGAUUAGAUACCCGUGUAGUC
rnacentral:rRNA from 1 species